GUUUGACUGGUCCAACUCGCUUUCAGCCUUGGGUCAAACCAGUUGGGUCAAGAGGCCAGCUUUGGGGAGUCUCAUAUCGAUCAGAUUGAUUCGGUCAAUUCCGUUAUUUUAAACUGAUUUUGCUUAAACAGUCUUGGUUUUGUUCAGUUUGCGAAUAAAAUAGCUCAUGUUUAAUUUUAUUUAAGUGGCUCGAAAAGGUUAAAUCUAAUUUUUGAUCGACUUUUGACGAAAUUCGUGAUGCAAAAGAUAACAUGUUCAGUUUCUUCUUAAAUCGGUUUGGUUCCUGACAAGCCCGUCCAACAUAUGGACAAAGCUUCGACCUAUGUAGGGUAAAUCGGGCAUAAGGUAGGUAUAAACCAAAAUUAAGGGCAUUUGUAAAAUUUUACUAACAGUUUACCCUCAUUUUAAGGCAUAAUUUAGGCUAUAAAAGAGGGUUCACUUUUGCAGUUAAAAAAGGAAAGAAAGGAGACUUUCAAAGAAAUUUUUUAGAGAAUAUUUAUUUGAAAAGUUUGGGCGGAAAUAUAUCACAAAAAAGCAUUAUAAAUCAAAAGAUCAUGAAAAAAAUUAAGAAGAGAACAUUUAUAAUCGAUUGCAAACUUUUUUCACACUCAUCCUCAAAUCACACUUAAAAUACACUCAACCGCACACAAAUCCUACUCAAAAUACUCCAAAUCUCCUUAAAAAUCACUCUCAUCCUCACCGUCUUCCAAUCCUUAAGUUCUCAUAUUUGGCUUCAAUAAUUACUCGGCAGCAAUACCAUUACCUCCCCGAGCUUUUGAAAAAAGUGUCGCUCAAACCACUUUGUAAGGAAAAUACGACAAUAGUGACCUAAAAAAACCAAGCAUCACUUCCAAAGGUGAAAGAUACAUAAAUUAAAAAUCACAGAAACAUUUACUUUACUAUCUUAAACAUAUUUCAUAU
rnacentral:lncRNA from 1 species